rnacentral:rRNA from 1 species
AGGACGAACGCUGGCGGCGUGCUUAACACAUGCAAGUCGAGCGGAAAGGCCCUUCGGGGUACUCGAGCGGCGAACGGGUGAGUAACACGUGGGUAACCUGCCCCUUGCUCCGGGAUAACUCCGGGAAACCGGGGCUAAUACCGGAUAUGACACUCGCAGGCAUCUGCUGGGUGUGGAAAGUUUUUCGGCGAGGGAUGGGCCCGCGGCCUAUCAGCUUGUUGGUGGGGUGAUGGCCUACCAAGGCGGUGACGGGUAGCCGGCCUGAGAGGGCGACCGGCCACACGUGGGACUGAGACACGGCCCAGACUCCUAGGGAGCAGCAGUGGGGAAUAGUUGCGCAAGUGGGCGGAAGCCUGACGCAGCGACGCGCGUGAGGGAUGACGGCUUCGGGUUAGUAACCUCUUUCAGCGAGGGACGAGCGAGAGUCGACGGUACCUGCUAAGAAGAAGCGAACCGGCCAAACCGUACGUACGACCAACGCAACGCCGGACGGUAAUCCGUGACGG